rnacentral:rRNA from 1 species
AGAGUUUGAUCCCGGCUCAGAAUCAACGCUGGCGGCGCGCUUAACACAUGCAAGUCGAACGAGAAAGCAGGAGCAAUCCUGUGAGUACAGUGGCGUACGGGUGAGUAACACGUGGAUUAUCUGCCCUGGAGUGGGGAAUAACGCUGGGAAACCGGCGCUAAUACCGCAUAUUCCCGAGAGGGGAAAGCAGCAAUGCGCUCGAGGAGGAGUCCGCGGCUGAUUAGCUAGUUGGUAGGGUAACGGCCUACCAAGGCUAUGAUCGGUAGCCGGCCUGAGAGGGCACACGGCCACACUGGCACUGAAACACGGGCCAGACUCCUACGGGAGGCAGCAGUGGGGAAUCUUGCACAAUGGGGGCAACCCUGAUGCAGCGACGCCGCGUGAGCGAUGAAGCCCUUCGGGGUGUAAAGCUCUUUCGGCAGGGAAGAUUAUGACGGUACCUGCAGAAGCAGCCGCGGCUAACUACGUGCCAGCAGCCGCGGUAAUACGUAGGCAGCGAGCGUUGUUCGGAGUUACUGGGCGUAAAGGGUGUGUAGGCGGCCUUCUAAGUUUUGUGUGAAAUCUCCCGGCUCAACCGGGAGGGUGCGCCGAAGACUGGGGGGCUAGAGUGCGGGAUGGGAGAGUAGAAUUCCUGGUGUAGCGGUGAAAUGCGUAGAUAUCAGGAGGAAUACCUGUGGUGUAGACGGCUCUCUGGACCGCAACUGACGCUGAGACACGAAAGCGUGGGUAGCAAACAGGAUUAGAUACCCUGGUAGUCCACGCCCUAAACGAUGCAUAUUUGGUGUAGGUCAUUCAGUUGAUCUGUGCCGGAGCUAACGCGUUAAAUAUGCCGCCUGGGGAGUACAGUCGCAAGGCUGAAACUCAAAGGAAUUGACGGGGGCCCGCACAAGCGGUGGAGCAUGUGGUUCAAUUCGACGCAACGCGAAGAACCUUACCUGGGCUCGAACGGCUCACGAAAAGCUGUGGAAACACGGUUUUCCCGCAAGGGACGGGAGUCGAGGUGCUGCAUGGCUGUCGUCAGCUCGCGUCGUGAGAUGUUGGGUUAAGUCCCGCAACGAGCGCAACCCUUGUCCUGUGUUACCAUCAUUCAGUUGGGAACUCGCAGGAGACCGCCAGCGAUAAGCUGGAGGAAGGUGGGGAUGACGUCAAGUCCUCAUGGCCUUUAUGUCCAGGGCUACACACGUGCUACAAUGGACGGUACAAAGCGCUGCCAACCCGCAAGGGGGAGCCAAUCGC